AGAGUUUGAUCAUGGCUCAGGAUGAACGCUAGCGGCAGGCUUAAUACAUGCAAGUCGAGGGGCAGCAUGAUUGUAGCAAUACAAUUGAUGGCGACCGGCAAACGGGUGCGGAACACGUACACAACCUUCCUGUAACUGGGGCAUAACCCGGAGAAAUUCGGAUUAAUACCCCAUAGCAUAAUGAUGUGGCAUCACAUUAUUAUUAAAGAUUCAUUGGUUACAGAUGGGUGUGCGUAUGAUUAGCUAGUUGGUGUAGGUAACGGCUCACCAAGGCGACGAUCAUUAACUGGUGUGAGAGCACGACCAGUCACACGGGCACUGAGACACGGGCCCGACUCCUACGGGAGGCAGCAGUAAGGAAUAUUGGUCAAUGGACGCAAGUCUGAACCAGCCAUGCCGCGUGAAGGAUGAAGGUCCUCUGGAUUGUAAACUUCUUUUAUAGGGGAAGAAAUGCAUUUUUUCUAAAGUGUUUGACGGUACCCUAGGAAUAAGCACCGGCUAACUCCGUGCCAGCAGCCGCGGUAAUACGGAGGGUGCAAGCGUUAUCCGGAUUCACUGGGUUAAAGGGUGCGUAAGCGGGUAUGUAAGUCAGUGGUGAAAUCCUCGAGCUUACUCGAGAACUGCCAUUGAUACUAUGUAUCUUGAAUGCCUGGAGGUGAGCGGAAUAUGUCAUGUAGCGGUGAAUGCUUAAUUUGACAUAAACACGAUGCGAGGCAGCUC
rnacentral:rRNA from 1 species